GAUCUCGGGAUGCAGGGUCCUCUAAACAUGGAUCCGGGGAUGGGUUGGAAUUUUUGUGCAACUUUUCGGUCGGCGAGGGCACAAAAGAGAUACAGCGGUUGUACAUUGCUUAAUGGGUUCGUUCAGGUGUCCUUGCGGCAAAUGCGUGCAGAUGCCGACGUUAGAAGAAUGCCUUUGUUGCCGAAUGAGACGUUACUGACGCAGCGCAGCGGUUGCAUUUCAAGAAAUCAGUACAUUGAAAUACUGUGGCUGGACACUGAGGUGCUCCAGGUGUCCUACUGCUACGUGAGAGAAAGCGACGACUACGCCCUUAUCAGGAACAGCCAAGUGAACAAGUGAGUUCAUUCACGUGUACCUUCUGUUUGUUAUCAGUAAAGUUACAUAUCAUAAUUUUACGCUGCGCAUGGUAGAUGCAGGAAGUUUUGGGGACGUUGCUUACAAACAGUUUAUCAGGUGGCUCUGGGGAACAUUAGGAAAGCACGGCUGAAAGGCUUCAAAGCAUGUGCUGUACACGUCAUAAGGGAAAACUUUCCUUCUGAAGCAUACAAAUGUUCUUGCUUUUGACGUGUGAAGCAGUAGGUGCUGUCUUUUUUUUUUUUUGAUUGCGUGUUAGCGCCGCGAAGCAACUGUGGCAAUGAGCGGCGUACAGAUGUGGACAGAUAGAGAGAGGACAGCAGGAAGGAGUGGGGGGACAGGGGGAUUAUGUAGGUGCUGUCUGACCAUGUGUAUGUUUACUCGCUUUAACUGAGGUGAAGCUCUCACUUUUCUUUCGGGUGCUUGUGGGCAGCAUUGAAUGCCUGCCAUCUUGACAGAGGUACGCUGGAUGGUUUGGCCCUGAGUACUGCAAGAUCACAGCAGUAUACCCCUUUCAUGCACAAUAGGUCUGUCAUAUACCGUCCUGGAUUAACCAGACAGCCAUUACACAGAAAAAUACAGUCUACAAACAUCAAAGCUUGUAAAUAUUGCUUUAUUGAUCACGGUGUUUAUGAAUGAAUAUAUGAGUGAUAGCAGCAAACAAACAAGGAAGGGAGGAGAACAUCCCCCGUACUUUGUCCAUAUCGAUUUGCAAGUGCUUCACCUCCCACCAACCAGUAAAAAAUGUAUGCAUGCGUUUUUUUUUUCAGUGCACAGGUGUUUGCUACAAACACGCUCCAGUGCAUAAGCUGUAAGAGAACAUAGGCUAUUAUCUUGCCUAUCAAACAUCACAUGAGUUCAUGACUUCAUCAGUAUAAAAAGGGCAUCAGGUGGGGACAUGCCAAUGUCUUCAACAAAGUCUUCUCUUCAGAGGCAUCCCUAUCAUUGACUCCGCAAGCAUGCGAAGAAAAAUUUUAGACCUCUUCUGUGCACAUCCAUCUUUGUAACGCUUUCUCUAUUUCUCGUUAUAAAUUUCGUUAUGUUUCUCUCAUACCCAGUCCAAUUGCAGUCAUUGGUGCGGGCUCAGGGCUUUUGCAGACCGUUACCAUUUCACUGUAGCGCACAUCUUUCCAAGUUCAAUCAGGAGAUGAUCUACAUCCUCUGCCAACAAAAGAUAAUAUCGUCAUGGCUAAGUGUCUUCUCUAUACUCUUUAUAUCAAAACAUGGUCCCUCAUGGCUGUCAUGGAUGUUGAUAGCGUGCCGGGUCAAACCAAGACAAAUUAUCUCGAAGUUAGUAUACACUGUUUCCUGAAUGACAGAUUUAGAUUGUGGCGAACAGCUAGUGUGAAAAUGGAAUGGCACACCCAGCUGAUCAUCACAACAGCGGAAAGACGAACAUGAAAGGGAAUCCCAUCCAGCACAUCCAAAGGACGCAGAAAUCGCGAGGAAGUCGCAUUUCUUCGGAUAUCCCGCAGGUCAACGGUAAGACAAGUUUGCGUACUUCUUGUUACCGAAGGAAGUAAUGCAGGUUUAUCGUGUGAAUUGUAUUACAUACAACAUUUACGAGUCACUCUUUACGUUAGAGGCGUUUCAUAGUGCAGUGCGUUGCCGUAACCUGUGCGUUUUGGAUAUGCCGCAAAUUAAAUUAUAUGUGUCGUUAUGCUAUAGUUGCCCCUCAUGCAUGUCGCAGCCGCUCACUGUGAUCUACGAACGUUUGUGGCAAGUGUGUUUUGGUGUUCAAGUACGAAAUCAACAUCGGUUGUCCAUUCAUAACAGUGAUUUUCGUUCAGAGUUACGCAUCAUCAAUAAAUUUUUUUAUUUUUCAGUGCUCCUGCAGCCCUCGGCAACAACGUCACGCCUGGCCCAGCUGUUUUCGAAAACUGUACACCUUUACAUUGGGUGUACUACACUGGCUUAAUUUUGAACUGCUCUUCGGUGUCAAAGCACCUAAAGCUUCAGUGAAGCCUGUUACAAGACGUGAAAAGGAAUAUACUGUAACUUUUUCUGAACAGUUCGAGAGGACAAAUAAACUUGCUUUAUCAACCGUCAUCGCUUUUUGUUUCUCUGCUUUGGAACAACACUUGCGUUACUCUACAGCAAGCGCGCAAGAAAAACAGACGAAGCUGGGAUUGGGGGGAGGGGGUACGAGAAGAGAGAGACGAAAAAUCCGAGGAGAGAACUGGAAGGAGGUUGAGAAAGGAGGUCACUGUGCGAAUGCGCAAUUGACCCUACCUUAUUUCCCGUGCUGCUGUGAGUGGCUCCUGGAGAUCACGUGGUUUGGGCGCCCGCCAUUUUCCCUGAAUCAUUGCGGAUAUGGGAGCUUCCGGCGGAUGUAGUAGCCGCGCCACGUAUUCUUAGUUUCGCUUCUGUCUUGCACGCACUCAUAUCCUGCAGUUAGGAAACCUCUUAUUGACGUGCGUUUGAAGGGUGAACCUGCUUACGAGUUUCCCGUUGCAGCCAUGCAAUAGUAAAACGAGAGAGAUAAGAUCUCUCCCACCGGAAGUAUUAGGGAUAUCACUAAAUAUAACGCGCAUGUCCGAUCACUACCACUUUCAUUUUUUAGACCAGUGCAGUGUUUCAGUGCUGCGUUGCCGUAACUUGUCGCAGGUGUCACAUGACUUGACUAACGUGAUAACGCAAAAGA